rnacentral:rRNA from 1 species
CGGGAAACUGUGGCUAAUACCGCAUAAUCUCGCCGUAACGGGAGUCGGUAAGAAAAGGUGAGCCGAUUUGGGAGGGGCCUGCGGUCGAUUAGCUGGUUGGUGGGGUAACUGCCUACCAAGGCGAUGAUCGAUAGCUGUUUUGAGAGGAAGGCCAGCCACACGGGAAUUGAGACACGGUUCCGACUCCUACGGGGGGCAGCAGUGAGGAAUAUUGCGCAAUGGGGGAAACCCUGACGCAGCAACGCCGCGUGGAGGACGAAGGUUUUCGGAUUGUAAACUCCUUAACUGGGGGAAGAGAGAGGACGGUACCCCAGGACGAAGACGCGGCUAACUACGUGCCAGCAGCCGCGGUAACACGUAGGUGUCGAGCGUUAUCCGGAAUUACUGGGCGUAAAGGGUGCGCAGGCGGCGGUGCAAGUCUGGCGUGAAAGCUCCUGGCUUAACUGGGAGAGGACGUUGGAAACUGCAUGGCUAGAGUGAAUGAGAGGGGGGCGGAAAUCCCGGUGUAGUGGUGGAAUGCGUAGAGAUCGGGAAGAACUCCAGAGGCGAAGGCGGCCCCCUGGCAUUUGACUGACGCUGAGGC